GCUUGAUCUCAAUAGCUCAGUUAGCAGAGCAAAAGACUCUUAAUCUCAGGGUUGUGGGUUCAAGCCCCAUGUUGGGCA